AUGAGUAUGUUUUCAUCUGGGUCCAUAAGUAUGUUUUCAUCUGGGUCCAUAAGUAUGUUUUCAUCUGGGUCCAUAAGUAUGUUUUCAUCUGGGUCCAUGAGUGUGUUUCAUCUGGGUCCGGGAAACCAGCCCUGUAAGAACUGGGUCAACUUAGACGACUGGUCUUCUAACAUUCAUUUACAGAGGAAAGACUGUCAGGUGACUAGGGCUGAACAAUUCUGUGAACUUUCAAUGAAUUCCCUGGUUUUACAGAAAUCCCAGAUGCAGGAUUUCCUGAAUAAAGAAGGAAUAAGCAGGAACUCAGGACCCUAGGACCAGGAUAUCCUGAAUAAAGAAGGAAUAAGCAGGGAACUCAGAACCCUAGGACCAGGAUAUCCUGAAUAAAGAAGGAAUAAGCAGGGAACUCAGAACCCUAGGACCAGGAUAUCCUGAAUAAAGAAGGAAUAAGCAGGGAACUCAGAACCCUAGGACCAGGAUAUCCUGAAUAAAGAAGGAAUAAGCAGGGAACUCAGAACCCUAGGACCAGGAUAUCCUGAAUAAAGAAGGAAUAAGCAGGGAACUCAGAACCCUAGGACCAGGAUAUCCUGAAUAAAGAAGGAAUAAGCAGGGAACUCAGAACCCUAGGACCAGGAUAUCCUGAAUAAAGAAGGAAUAAGCAGGGAACUCAGAACCCUAGGACCAGGAUAUCCUGAAUAAAGAAGGAAUAAGCAGGGAACUCAGAACCCUAGGACCAGGAUAUCCUGAAUAAAGAAGGAAUAAGCAGGGAACUCAGAACCCUAGGACCAGGAUAUCCUGAAUAAAGAAGGAAUAAGCAGGGAACUCAGAACCCUAGGACCAGGAUAUCCUGAAUAAAGAAGGAAUAAGCAGGGAACUCAGAACCCUAGGACCAGGAUAUCCUGAAUAAAGAAGGAAUAAGCAGGGAACUCAGAACCCUAGGACCAGGAUAUCCUGAAUAAAGAAGGAAUAAGCAGGGAACUCAGAACCCUAGGACCAGGAUAUCCUGAAUAAAGAAGGAAUAAGCAGGGAACUCAGAACCCUAGGACCAGGAUAUCCUGAAUAAAGAAGGAAUAAGCAGGGAACUCAGAACCCUAGGACCAGGAUAUCCUGAAUAAAGAAGGAAUAAGCAGGGAACUCAGAACCCUAGGACCAGGAUAUCCUGAAUAAAGAAGGAAUAAGCAGGGAACUCAGAACCCUAGGACCAGGAUAUCCUGAAUAAAGAAGGAAUAAGCAGGAACUCAGAACCCUAGGACCAGGAUAUCCUGAAUAAAGAAGGAAUAAGCAGGGAACUCAGAACCCUAGGACCAGGAUAUCCUGAAUAAAGAAGGAAUAAGCAGGGAACUCAGAACCCUAGGACCAGGAUAUCCUGAAUAAAGAAGGAAUAAGCAGGGAACUCAGAACCCUAGGACCAGGAUAUCCUGAAUAAAGAAGGAAUAAGCAGGGAACUCAGAACCCUAGGACCAGGAUAUCCUGAAUAAAGAAGGAAUAAGCAGGGAACUCAGAACCCUAGGACCAGGAUAUCCUGAAUAAAGAAGGAAUAAGCAGGGAACUCAGAACCCUAGGACCAGGAUAUCCUGAAUAAAGAAGGAAUAAUAGCAGGGAACUCAGAACCUAGGACCAGGAUAUCCUGAAUAAAGAAGGAAUAAGCAGGGAACUCAGAACCCUAGGACCAGGAUAUCCUGAAUAAAGAAGGAAUAAGCAGGGAACUCAGAACCCUAGGACCAGGAUAUCCUGAAUAAAGAAGGAAUAAGCAGGGAAACUCAGAACCCUAGGACCAGGAUAUCCUGAAUAAAGAAGGAAUAAGCAGGGAACUCAGAACCCUAGGACCAGGAUAUCCUGAAUAAAGAAGGAAUAAGCAGGGAACUCAGAACCCUAGGACCAGGAUAUCCUGAAUAAAGAAGGAAUAAGCAGGGAACUCAGAACCCUAGGACCAGGAUAUCCUGAAUAAAGAAGGAAUAAGCAGGGAACUCAGAACCCUAGGACCAGGAUAUCCUGAAUAAAGAAGGAAUAAGCAGGGAACUCAGAACCCUAGGACCAGGAUAUCCUGAAUAAAGAAGGAAUAAGCAGGGAACUCAGAACCCUAGGACCAGGAUAUCCUGAAUAAAGAAGGAAUAAGCAGGGAACUCAGAACCCUAGGACCAGGAUAUCCUGAAUAAAGAAGGAAUAAGCAGGGAAACUCAGAACCCUAGGACCAGGAUAUCCUGAAUAAAGAAGGAAUAAGCAGGGAACUCAGAACCCUAGGACCAGGAUAUCCUGAAUAAAGAAGGAAUAAGCAGGGAACUCAGAACCCUAGGACCAGGAUAUCCUGAAUAAAGAAGGAAUAAGCAGGGAACUCAGAACCCUAGGACCAGGAUAUCCUGAAUAAAGAAGGAAUAAGCAGGGAACUCAGAACCCUAGGACCAGGAUAUCCUGAAUAAAGAAGGAAUAAGCAGGGAACUCAGAACCUAGGACCAGGAUAUCCUGAAUAAAGAAGGAAUAAGCAGGGAAACUCAGGACCCUAGGACCAGGGAUAUCCUGAAUAAAGAAGGAAUAAGCAGGGAACUCAGAACCCUAGGACCAGGAUAUCCUGAAUAAAGAAGGAAUAAGCAGGGAACUCAGAACCUAGGACCAGGAUAUCCUGAAUAAAGAAGGAAUAAGCAGGGAACUCAGAACCCUAGGACCAGGAUAUCCUGAAUAAAGAAGGAAUAAGCAGGGAACUCAGAACCCUAGGACCAGGAUAUCCUGAAUAAAGAAGGAAUAAGCAGGGAACUCAGAACCCUAGGACCAGGAUUUCUGGAAAAUGAGGGAAUAAAAAAUAAAAAAAUAAAAAUGACACCUUUAUGUUAAAAAAAAUGUAUCUAUUUAAAAAAUCUAAUGAAAUGUUUUUAAAAAAUGUACCCAUCAGCUUUCAGUGAGAGCUCGGUGAUGGAGAGGAGACCAAUGGACUGUCAGCUUUCAGUGAGAGCUCGGUGAUGGAGAGGAGACCAAUGGACUGUCAGCUUUCAGUGAGAGCUCGGUGAUGGAGAGGAGACCAAUGGACUGUCAGCUUUCAGUGAGAGCUCGGUGAUGGAGAGGAGACCAAUGGACUGUCAGCUUUCAGUGAGAGCUCGGUGAUGGAGAGGAGACCAAUGGACUGUCAGCUUUCAGUGAGAGCUCGGUGAUGGAGAGGAGACCAAUGGACUGUCAGCUUUCAGUGAGAGCUCGGUGAUGGAGAGGAGACCAAUGGACUGUCAGCUUUCAGUGAGAGCUCGGUGAUGGAGAGGAGACCAAUGGACUGUCAGCUUUCAGUGAGAGCUCGGUGAUGGAGAGGAGACCAAUGGACUGUCAGCUUUCAGUGAGAGCUCGGUGAUGGAGAGGAGACCAAUGGACUGUCAGCUUUCAGUGAGAGCUCGGUGAUGGAGAGGAGACCAAUGGACUGUCAGCUUUCAGUGAGAGCUCGGUGAUGGAGAGGAGACCAAUGGACUGUCAGCUUUCAGUGAGAGCUCGGUGAUGGAGAGGAGACCAAUGGACUGUCAGCUUUCAGUGAGAGCUCGGUGAUGGAGAGGAGACCAAUGGACUGUCAGCUUUCAGUGAGAGCUCGGUGAUGGAGAGGAGACCAAUGGACUGUCAGCUUUCAGUGAGAGCUCGGUGAUGGAGAGGAGACCAAUGGACUGUCAGCUUUCAGUGAGAGCUCGGUGAUGGAGAGGAGACCAAUGGACUGUCAGCUUUCAGUGAGAGCUCGGUGAUGGAGAGGGGACCAAUGGACUAGGCUUUCAGUGAGAGCUCGGUGAUGGAGAGGAGACCAAUGGACUAAGCUUUCAGUGAGAGCUCGGUGAUGGAGAGGAGACCAAUGGACUAAGCUUUCAGUGAGAGCUCGGUGAUGGUGAGGGGACCAAUGGACUGUCAGCUUUCAGUGAGAGCUCGGUGAUGGUGAGGGGACCAAUGGACUGUCAGCUUUCAGUGAGAGCUCGGUGAUGGUGAGGGGACCAAUGGACUGUCAGCGAUGAGGAGGACAUGUUGGACACGAUACAAAAUGGAGGACCGAAGGGAUUUUGUCGUAGUCAGGGUUGGGUACCAUAGGACCUGGUCUAAUGUAGUGCACUAUAAAGGGAACAGGGUACCCUAUUCCCUUCAUAGUGCACUCAUUUUGACAAGGGACCCAUAGGCCUCAGGUCAAAAAUAGUGCACUAUAUAGGGAUUAGGGUUCCAUUUGGAAUGGACAAUAGGAAUAGGACCUGUUCUACAGUAAAACUACCUAAAAACACAUUGACUGCAUCACCUGCACUGUGAGAUGCCUUUGAGUUGUUUAUCAGUCCCAUUUCACUUCCUCCCUCAUUCCCCUCCCUCUUCUCUCCCUUCCUGGUACAGGGAUCUACUUCACUUCCUCCCUCAUUCCCCUCCCUCUUCUC
ensembl:lncRNA